rnacentral:lncRNA from 1 species
UUCAUUCGACUCGGGAUCAUUCCACUUUCCCGUUGUUGCGCAUCUUCUUUGUUCACAAUCCACGCUUUCCAACUGCCCACGUGACCAUUAUACAGCGUGUCUGUGAUAUACAGUAUGUCAUCUUUCUUGAAUGACAACUGAUCUUUGCUUGUUGCUGGAUUGUCGAACAUUGCGCUAGAUCAAGAAAAAGUUUAGUUUAGAUUUCCUCCGGCACGAAUACUAAAUCAAUAAGAAAUUGUUCUUACUUGGACCUCAAGGAAGAACAGUUCAGAACUGAUAAAGCUAUCCAGUAUAAUUGAGUAUAAAUAAAGUUAGUUUAGUUUAGGUUUCCUCCUGCAGUAACACUGGAUCAAUAAGAGAUGAUCCUUAUACUGGACCUCUAGGCAGAACAGUUCAGAACUGAUAGAGCUAUACACUAUAAAUAAAGUUAGUUUAGUUUAGGUUUCCUACUGUAGUAACACUGGAUCAAUAAGAGAUGAUACUUACUGGACCUCUAGGAAGAACAGUUCAGAACUGAUAGAGCUAUCCAGUAUAAAUAAAG